CCUGCCUCAAACCAUCAGAUCAGGUUUUUAUAACGAGGGUCUUUCAGAGCACAGGAACCGUUCCUCAGGUUCUUUCAGGUUCUCUCAGGUUCCUUAAAGUUCCUCAGGUUCUUUAUGAUUCACACAAAUGAAUCAAAUGAAAUGAUUCUGAAUCAGAACAUUAAAAGAAUCAUAAAAGAAAAACCUGCCUCAAACCAUCAGAUCAGGUUUUUAUAACGAGGGUCUUUCAGAGCACAGGAACCGUUCUGUGCAACUUUUUAGGAACCUUUUCCAGGAACCAGGAUAGUUUCCUGUUUGUUUGUUUGUUUGUUUGUUUGUUUGUUUGUUUGUUUGUUUGUUUUUACUGCAGGAACUAAAAUGGACCCAGGGCAGGAACUGACCCAGCAAACAGCUAUGAGGAUGUUUCGUCUGGUUCCUGCGGU